rnacentral:rRNA from 1 species
AGAGUUUGAUCCUGGCUCAGGACGAACGCUGGCGGCGUGCCUAACACAUGCAAGUCGAACGGUCCAGUGUCUAACACCGAGUGUUUAAGGAGCAGAUAAGUGGAUGACAGCGAGAGCGCGAAGAAUGAGCGCUCCACGCAUUCAAUAAGUGUCAACACAGCUUCUGGAAUGCUGGGUGUUAGAUGCUGGAUAGUGGCGGACGGGUGAGUAACGCGUGGAUAACCUACC